rnacentral:lncRNA from 1 species
AGGAAGGAGAUACCAUAAAUGUGGAUGUGACUUGUCCAGGUGCUACUCUAGCUUUGGCUAUGAUCUACUUAAAAACCAAUAACAGUGUCUCUAGGAAGCCCAGACACAUGGAGAAGUUCUGAGUGUUUUGGCCGAUAGUCCCAGAUGAGGUUCCAGCAACAGCUGGGAUCACCCAUGAGAUGUGAGUGAGGAAGGCUUUGAGAUGGUUUCAGCCCUAGCCACCACUGACCUCAUGAGAGACCACAAGAAAGAGAAUCACCUGGCCAAGCCCAG